rnacentral:rRNA from 1 species
UACGUAGGGUGCGAGCGUUAAUCGGAAUUACUGGGCGUAAAGCGUGCGCAGGUGGUCAUGUAAGACAGAUGUGAAAUCCCCGGGCUUAACCUGGGAAUUGCAUUUGUGACUGCAUGGCUAGAGUGUGGCAGAGGGGGAUGGAAUUCCGCGUGUAGCAGUGAAAUGCGUAGAUAUGCGGAGGAACACCGAUGGCGAAGGCAGUCCCCUGGGCCUGCACUGACACUCAAGCACGAAAGCGUGGGGAGCAAACAGGAUUAGAUACCCUGGUAGUCCACGCCCUAAACGAUGUCGACUGGUUGUUGGGAGGGUUCCCUCUCAGUAACGAAGCUAACGCGUGAAGUCGACCGCCUGGGGAGUACGGCCGCAAGGUUGAA